CCCCUCCAGGACGCACGGACCCAGGGGACCCUCUGUCCCCCCCUUCCAGGACGCACGGACCCAGGGGACCCUCUGUCCCCCCCCCCCAGGACGCACGGACACAGGGGACUCUCCCUUACCCCCCCCCCCGAACACACAGACCCAGGGGACCCUCUGUCCCCCCUCUCCAGGACGCACGGACCCAGGGGACCCUCCCUCCCCCUCCCUCCAGGACGCACGGACCCAGGGGACCCCCUGUCCCCUCCCUCCAGGAUGCACGGGCCCAGGGGACCCUCCCUCCCCCUCCCUCCAGGACGCACGGACCCAGGGGACCCUCCGUCCCCCCACUCUAGGAUGCACGGCCACAGGGGACCCUCCGUCCCCGCCCUCCACGCCAGCCGGACGCACGGACACAGAUCCCCUCCCUCCGGGACGCACGGACACGGGGGACCCCCCCCCCCCCGCGUCCCCCCUCUCCAGGACGGACGGACCCAGGGGACCCGGCUGGACGUCCCCGGCGGCGGCCUGCACUUGGCCUUGAGCUGAAUUUCCAAAGGUGCAGCUUUGACCGUGACCCAGAAACAAGAGGGUAUUAGAAGCGCCGGAAAGGGAUGCCGAGCAGAACCCAAAGGGACCUCAAAAACAGAAUGAGGGCAAGCAGACGUAACAGCGUGACCUAAAAAAACGAUGUGGCCUAAAGGAAAGAACCUGAGCCUGCGGCAUCAGAGGACCUGGGUUCUAAUCCCUACUCUGCCACCUGUCUGCUGUGUGACCUUGGGGUCGAUCACCUUGGACCCAACUGACCUGCCUGAGGACAGCUCCCGGUGACCCCGCGCUCCAGAAAAAUGCAUUCGGAUUUCUUAUUCAGGCCCCAGAACCUCACCCCAAAGCCCUCCCACCUGGUGAAAGCAAACAGACCGGAAGAGCCAAAAUACUCCGUUGAUCCCCGGCCCACGUCCUAACAGUGACCCGGAACGCCCUCCCUCCUCACAUCCGCCAAACUCACUCUCUUCCCCUCU